AACGAACGUUAGCGGCGCGCUUAACACAUGCAAGUCGAACGAGAAAGGGCUUCGGCCCCGGUACAGUGGCGCACGGGUGAGUAACACGUAGGUAACCUGCCCUUGAGUGGUGGAUAACAUUCCGAAAGGAGUGCUAAUACAGCAUAAGACCACGGUUCCAUCAAGGAACAGGGGUCAAAGCGGGCCUCUUCAUGAAAGCUCGCGCUUGGGGAUGGGCCUGCGGCGCAUCAGCUAGUUGGUGAGGUAAUGGCUCACCAAGGCUAAGACGCGUAGCUGGUCUGAGAGGAUGAUCAGCCACACUGGAACUGAGACACGGUCCAGACUCCUACGGGAGGCAGCAGUGGGGAAUAUUGCACAAUGGGCGAAAGCCUGAUGCAGCGACGCCGCGUGAGGGAUGACGGCCUCGGUUGUAACCGUACUUUCUAGCAGGAGAAGACGAAAGUAGACGGUACCGUAGCAGAAGAAGACACCGGCGUAACUAACGUGCCG
rnacentral:rRNA from 1 species